AUUGAACGCUGGCGGCAUGCCUUACACAUGCAAGUCGAACGGCAGCACGGGAGCAAUCCUGGUGGCGAGUGGCGAACGGGUGAGUAAUAUAUCGGAACGUGCCCAGUCGUGGGGAUAACGUAGCGAAAGCUACGCUAAUACCGCAUACGAUCUAUGGAUGAAAGCGGGGGAUCGCAAGACCUCGCGCGAUUGGAGCGGCCGAUAUCAGAUUAGGUAGUUGGUGAGGUAAAGGCUCACCAAGCCGACGAUCUGUAGCUGGUCUGAGAGGACGACCAGCCACACUGGGACUGAGACACGGCCUAGACUCCUACGGAGGCAGCAGUGGGGAAUUUUUGGGACAAUGGGCGCAAGCCUGAUCCAGCAAUGCCGCGUGCAGGAUGAAGGCC
rnacentral:rRNA from 1 species